CUUUAGCUCAGAUGGUAGAGCAUCUGAUUUGUAAUCAGAGGGUCGUGGGUUCAAUUCCCACAG
rnacentral:tRNA from 1 species